rnacentral:rRNA from 1 species
UACGUAGGGGGGCUAGCGUUAUCCGGAAUUACUGGGCGUAAAGGGUGCGUAGGUGGUUUCUUAAGUCAGAGGUGAAAGGCUACGGCUCAACCGUAGUGAGCCUUUGAAACUGGGAAACUUGAGUGCAGGAGAGGAGAGUGGAAUUCCUAGUGUAGCGGUGAAAUGCGUAGAUAUUAGGAGGAACACCAGUUGCGAAGGCGGCUCUCUGGACUGUAACUGACACUGAGGCACGAAAGCGUGGGGAGCAAACAGG